AGCAGCCGCGGUAAUUCCAGCUCCAAUAGCGUAUAUUAAAGUUGCUGCAGUUAAAAAGCUCGUAGUUGAAUUUCGGGACUAAUAUGUCGGUCGUGCCUCGGUACGCACUGGCUUAUUGGUUUCUCCUUUCUGAAGAACCAUGAUGUCAUUAAUUUGGUGUCUUGGGGAAUCAGGACUGUUACUUUGAAAAAAUUAGAGUGUUUAAAGCAGGCUCACGCUUGAAUACAUUAGCAUGGAAUAAUGAAAUAGGACGUUUGAUUCUAUUUUGUUGGUUUCUAGGAUCGACGUAAUGAUUAAUAGGGAUAGUUGGGGGCAUUAGUAUUCAAUUGUCAGAGGUGAAAUUCUUGGAUUUAUUGAAGACUAACUACUGCGAAAGCAUUUGCCAAGGAUGUUUUCAUUAAUCAAGAACGAAAGUUAGGGGAUCGAAGACGAUCAGAUACCGUCGUAGUCUUAACCAUAAACUAUGCCGACUAGGGAUCGGAUGAUGUUAAUUUUUUAAUGACUCAUUCGGCGCCUUACG
rnacentral:ncRNA from 2 species